GGGGGAGCUGCCAAAGACAAUUUUUUUUGGUAUUUUUUUUUAUUCCAAAUUCCUUUAGUACACUUGUCCCUAUUACUUUAAAGAGUAAAAUCCAUUCAUUUCUUCCUAGUAAAUCCAUUUUUUGGUUAUUGCAGCUUGCUAAUUACAAAAGUUGUAUUCUGGUUACUGAAAAAUGAUAUGAAAUUCAAUGUCAAGUUCAUCAUAUUGAAAAAUC
rnacentral:lncRNA from 1 species